rnacentral:rRNA from 1 species
GACGAACGCUGGCGGCGUGCUUAACACAUGCAAGUCGAACGAAGUGGCGAACGGGUGAGUAACGCGUAAUCAACCUGCCCUUCAGAGGGGGACAACAGUUGGAAACGACUGCUAAUACCGCAUACUGAAGGAGGGGAUUGCGUCUGAUUAGCUAGUUGGAGGGGGAACGGCCCAACAAGGCGAGGAUCAGUAGGCGGUGUGGUAGUAUGAUCGGCAACAAUGGGACUGAGACACGGCCCAUACUCCUACGGGAGGCAGCAGUGGGGAAUCUUCCGCAAUGGACGAAAGUCUGACGGAGCAACGCCGCGUGAGUGAUGACGGCCUUCGGGUUGUAAAGCUCUGUUAAUCGGGACGCGGUACCGGAAUAGAAAGCCACGGCUAACUACGUGCCAGCCGCCGCGGUAAUUC